UACGGAGGGAGCUAGCGUUGUUCGGAAAUACUGGGCGUAAAGCGCACGUAGGCGGCGCAGCAAGUCAGGGGUGAAAUCCCGGGGCUCAACCUCGGAACUGCCCUUGAAACUGCAGUGCUAGAAUCUUGGAGAGGCGAGUGGAAUCCGAGUGUAGAGGUGAAAUUCGUAGAUAUUCGGAAGAACACCAGUGGCGAAGGCGACUCACUGGACAUGUAUUGACGCUGAGGUGCGAAAGCGUGGGGAGCAAACAGG
rnacentral:rRNA from 1 species